rnacentral:pre_miRNA from 1 species
GCAUCAGGAUGAUGACGAUGAUGAUGAUGAUGAUGAUGAUGAUCAUCAUCAUCAUCAUCAUCAUCAUCAUCAUCAUCAUCAUUAUCG